GCCCCUGGUGUCCCCCCGGUGUCCCCUCGGUGUCCCCCCGGUGUCCCCGCCGCGGCUCAGGGGCCGCAGGGACGCGCUCACGGCUCCGUCCCGCUGUGCCGUGCCUCGCAGACGGUGCGGAAAAGGGCUCUGCCCGCUCCCCGGGGGCAGGACGGCGGCUGACCCAAAAUGGCCGCCCCGGGGGCACAGGGAGCGGCAGCAGCCGCUCAGGGAGGUGGGCACCGAGCUCGCACAUCUCCCUCAGCAACUGGAGUUUGGGUUUAAAUCAGUUGGGUUUGGGGUUUCUCCCCCGCUCACGGUGUGCUUUCCCAUUGCUGAACCCGUAUGACGGAUCUUGGGGGCUCUUGCGUCCGACGCAGCUGAGCACGGUGAGCUUGGGCGAAACAAACUCUAAGGAUGGCCUUGACUUGGUGUGUAAGUUAAUAAAAGCGGAGGAGCAAACAGCGUUAGAAAUUGAGGCGAAGUCGCAUCCCAGGUGGAUACAUUUGAGGACACUGCUGAGGGCCUCGUGCUCCUGCAGAAGGGUGUUCUAUAUAGUGCAUUCGUGAAGGUUUAAUGUAGGGUCACAUCAAAAACAGACUCAAAAGAAGCAAGGCAAUAAUAUCUAACUAUGUCAUGUUUAUAAAAUUAUAAUUUAAAUAAAGCCACUUUAAAAACCAGUGGAGUACUCUGCAUUGCCACAAAGCCCUCACAGAUGUGUUAAAGCAGCUUUAGAGUGAGAAACCACUUCAGUGUGCCCCAGUCCACAAGAUAAUACAAAAAGGUGGGUGAGAUUGUGCUAAAAACUAUUGAAAUAAAUGAUCUUGUGCAAUCUAGGUGUCUCUCAUUGAUCCCUGAAUGUUGUUUGUAUCGGCACAGGAGACUCCCAUGGUGCUGGAGAGGUUCAGUCACUGAAACCACCAUGAGGGGUUAAAACAGUGUUGGAGUGUGGAGGAAACCCUUUUAGGCUCAUGAGUUAAUUAAGGGAUUGUGAAAAAUGCCUCCUGCCUCUUCCUUGGAGCCCAUCACGCUGCCCUCAUUUUUCACAUGUUAAUGAAAAAUGCAUAUUCCUCUGGAAAAACAGCAAUCGGUGGCUGACAGGGAAAUGUUUUCAGUGUAACAUCAUGACAGGUGUGACUGUUACAAAUGCUGCUCGUUUUUCUCGAUGUGGAAGGGCAGCAAUGCCUCUGCUCCAGGGUUUUGAACAAGGAACGUCCCUGUUGAGCCGCCAAGGGAUUAAAUAACAGCAGAGAGGUGGGGUGAGAGAGCCCAUCUUCACCAGGAGUGGAUGGCAAAGGGUAAAUUCCCAACUGCCUGCAGAUGUUCUGCAUCUGUGACAGAGUUUUAGGGCUUCACAGUUCUCUUUGUAGUGGAACACAACGCGGUGAGCGAGCAGUGACUGCGGCCCCUGCAGUUCCAGCACGGCUCUACGUGACUUCACUGGGUGAUUUGGGGGAAAUAAUGGAGUUUUUGGACUAUUUAACAAGCUAUUCACAAUUUAACAAGCUGUUCAGUUAUUUGCCAGCUCAGCAGAAACACUUUUUGGAGUUCCCAACCCUGGAAGUGUCCAAGGAAUGACAGGACACGGCACUCAGUUACGUGGUCUGGGUGACAGGGUGGUGGUGAGGGGCCAAGGACCGGACUCAGUGAUCUGGGAGGUCUUCUCCAACCUACGAUUCAGGGAUUCUGUGACCCCUGGAAGUGUGUCCAAGGCCAGGUUGGCCAAGGCUUGGAACAACCUGGGAUAGUGGAAGGUGUCCCUGCCCAUGGCAGGUGUGGGACCAGGUGAGCUGUAAGGCCCCUCCCAAUGCAAAUAAAAAACCCAACAAGUCCUCUCCCCACAAAAAAAAACCCCACAAAGAUCCUGAUUAUGCUUUUCCCAGGUGCAGGGAAACUCCAUCCUUUGCCAAGAAAUGAACGUCUAUUUUCAAAAACUUAUUAAAACCACUGAAAGUUAUUCUUAAAGGCGUCAUAAACCAAUGAUUUAUCUCUAAGCAAAGAGAUUUCCUCUGCACAUGCUGGGGCAUGUCUGGAUGCAAACGGAAAACACAGCACACUGCCAGUGGGAAUUUUUCCUGGAAGCCAGCCCAAAAGGACACACACGGGUGGAGACUUAAAGGAGAAAAGCCAGACAAGCAGCGGUAACACCACCGGAGUUCAAAUCGUCCCAGGUGGAUUGGGAAUGCUCAUUUUUUUAAUUUCCAAAACCCUGCUGUUUUCCUUCAUGAGAACAGCCACGCCAUACAGCUGGCCCCCCGAUGUGCUCAGAUCCAGGGUCCCUGGAGCAGAGUCACGGGGCACAGGGAAGCAGAAUCAUUUAAAUUGCGUGUGGUUAUUUGUCCGGUUGGUAGCAAUAAAAGGUUCAUUUAAAAAAAUUAAAAAUAAUAAAAAUCAUGGGUUUGCUGUGA